AGUUGCAGGGUAUAGACCCGAAACCCGGUGAUCUAUCCAUGGGCAGGUUGAAGGUUGGGUAACACUAACUGGAGGACCGAACCGACUAAUGUUGAAAAAUUAGCGGAUGACUUGUGGAUGGGGGUGAAAGGCCAAUCAAACCGGGAGAUAGCUGGUUCUCCCCGAAAGCUAUUUAGGUAGCGCCUCGUGAACUCAUCUUCGGGGGUAGAGCACUGUUUCGACUAGGGGGUCAUCCCGACUUACCAACUCGAUGCAAACUGCGAAUACCGAAGAAUGUUAUCACGGGAGACACACGGCGGGUGCUAACGUCCGUCGUGAAGAGGGAAACAACCCAGACCGCCAGCUAAGGUCCCAAAGUCAUGGUUAAGUGGGAAACGAAGUGGGAAGGCUCAGACAGCCAGGAUGUUGGCUUAGAAGCAGCCAUCAUUUAAAGAAAGCGUAAUAGCUCACUGGUCGAGUCGGCCCGCGCGGAAGAUGUAACGGGGCUAAACCAUGCACCGAAGCUGCGGCAGCGACACAAUGUGUUGUUGGGUAGGGGAGCGUUCUGUAAGCCUGCGAAGGUGUACUGUGAGGUAUGCUGGAGGUAUCAGAAGUGCGAAUGCUGACAUAAGUAACGAUAAUGCGGGUGAAAAACCCGCACGCCGGAAGACCAAGGGUUCCUGUCCAACGUUAAUCGGGGCAGGGUGAGUCGACCCCUAAGGCGAGGCUGAAAAGCGUAGUCGAUGGGAAACGGGUUAAUAUUCCCGUACUGGUGGUAACUGCGAUGGGGGAACGGAGAAGGCUAGGUUGUCCGGGCGACGGUCGUCCCGGUUCAAGCAGGUAGGCAGAGUGAUUAGGCAAAUCCGGUCACUUAAUGCUGAGAUGUGAUGACGAACCACCAAGGUGGUGAAGCAAUUGAUGCCCCGCUUCCAGGAAAAGCCUCUAAGCUUCAGGUUACCAACAAUCGUACCCCAAACCGACACAGGUGGUCAGGUAGAGAAUACUCAGGCGCUUGAGAGAACUCGGGUGAAGGAACUAGGCAAAAUGGUGCCGUAACUUCGGGAGAAGGCACGCUGGCGGUAGGUAAAGUCCCUCGCGGACAGAGCUGAAGCCAGUCGAAGAUACCAGCUGGCUGCAACUGUUUAUUAAAAACACAGCACUGUGCAAACACGAAAGUGGACGUAUACGGUGUGACGCCUGCCCGGUGCUGGAAGGUUAAUUGAUGGGGUUAGCGCAAGCGAAGCUCCUGAUCGAAGCCCCAGUAAACGGCGGCCGUAACUAUAACGGUCCUAAGGUAGCGAAAUUCCUUGUCGGGUAAGUUCCGACCUGCACGAAUGGCGUAAUGAUGGCCAGGCUGUCUCCACCCGAGACUCAGUGAAAUUGAACUCGCUGUGAAGAUGCAGUGUACCCGCGGCAAGACGGAAAGACCCCGUGAACCUUUACUAUAGCUUGACACUGAACAUUGAGCCUUGAUGUGUAGGAUAGGUGGGAGGCUUUGAAGUGUGGACGCCAGUCUGCAUGGAGCCAACCUUGAAAUACCACCCUUUAACGUUUGAUGUUCUAACCUAGGCCCGUGAUCCGGGUCGGGGACCGUGUCUGGUGGGUAGUUUGACUGGGGCGGUCUCCUCCUAAAGAGUAACGGAGGAGCACGAAGGUUGGCUAAGCAUGGUCGGACAUCAUGCGGUUAGUGCAAAGGCAUAAGCCAGCUUGACUGCGAGAGUGACGGCUCGAGCAGGUACGAAAGUAGGUCUUAGUGAUCCGGUGGUUCUGAAUGGAAGGGCCAUCGCUCAACGGAUAAAAGGUACUCCGGGGAUAACAGGCUGAUACCGCCCAAGAGUUCAUAUCGACGGCGGUGUUUGGCACCUCGAUGUCGGCUCAUCACAUCCUGGGGCUGAAGUAGGUCCCAAGGGUAUGGCUGUUCGCCAUUUAAAGUGGUACGCGAGCUGGGUUUAGAACGUCGUGAGACAGUUCGGUCCCUAUCUGCCGUGGGCGUUGGAAGAUUGAGAGGGGUUGCUCCUAGUACGAGAGGACCGGAGUGAACGCACCACUGGUGUUCGGGUUGUCAUGCCAAUGGCAUUGCCCGGUAGCUAAGUGCGGAAGAGAUAACCGCUGAAAGCAUCUAAGCGGGAAACUUGCCUCGAGAUGAGUCUUCCCUGUCGCUUAAAGCGACCUAAAGGAACGUUUAAGACGAAGACGUUGAUAGGCUGGAUGUGUAAGCGUAGCGAUACGUUGAGCUAACCAGUACUAAUGAACCGUGAGGCUUAACCUG
rnacentral:rRNA from 1 species